UACGUAGGGCGCAAGCGUUGUCCGGAAUUAUUGGGCGUAAAGAGCUCGUAGGCGGCUUGUCACGUCGGGUGUGAAAGCCCGGGGCUUAACCCCGGGUCUGCAUUCGAUACUGGAUAGCUAGAGUUCGGCAGAGGGAAGCGGAAUUUCCGGUGUAGCGGUGAAAUGCGUAGAUAUCGGAAGGAACAUCAGUGGCGAAAGCGGCUUCCUGGACCAGAACUGACGAUCAGGCUCGAAAGCGUGGGGAGCAAACAGG
rnacentral:rRNA from 1 species